rnacentral:rRNA from 1 species
UACGUAGGGGGCAAGCGUUGUCCGGAAUCAUUGGGCGUAAAGCGCGUGUAGGCGGCCCGAUAAGUCCGCUGUGAAAGUCCAGGGCUCAACCCUGGAAUGCCGGUGGAUACUGUCGGGCUCGAGUCCGGAAGAGGCGAAUGGAAUUCCUGGUGUAGCGGUGAAAUGCGCAGAUAUCAGGAGGAACACCGAUGGCGAAGGCAGCUCGCUGGGACGGUACUGACGCUGAGACGCGAAAGCGUGGGGAGCAAACAGG